rnacentral:rRNA from 1 species
UUCGCAAUGCCCGAAAGGGUGACGAAGCGACGCCGCGUGGGUGAGGAAGGCCUUCGGGUUGUAAAGCCCUGUCAGGAGUUAAGAAAUGUAGACUCGCUAAUAUCGGGUCUAUUUGACAAAGGCUCCAAAGGAAGCCACGGCUAACUCUGUGCCAGCAGCCGCGGUAAUACAGAGGUGGCAAGCGUUGUUCGGAAUUAUUGGGCGUAAAGAGCACGUAGGUGGAUUUGUAAGUCAGACGUGAAAGCCUUCUGUUCAACGGAAGAAUUGCAUCUGAAACUACAAACCUUGAGUGUAGGAGGGGAGAAUGGAACUUCUGGUGGAGCGGUGAAAUGCGUAGAUAUCAGAAGGAACGCCGGCGGCGAAAGCGAUUCUCUGGCCUAUUACUGACACUCAGUGUGCGAAAGCUAGGGGGGCAAACGGGAUUAGAUACCCCGGUAGUCCUAGCCGUAAACGAUGGGCACUAAGUAGAGGGGUUUU